GAUGAACGCUAGCGGCAGGCUUAACACAUGCAAGUCGAGGGGUAUAGUUCUUCGGAGCUAGAGACCGGCGCACGGGUGCGUAACGCGUGUGCAUCUACCUUUUGCAGAGGGAUAGCCCAGAGAAAUUUGGAUUAAUACCUCAUGGUAUGUGAGAAUGGCAUCAUUUUCACAUUAAAGUCACAACGGCAAAAGAUGAGCAUGCGUCCCAUUAGCUAGUUGGUAAGGUAACGGCUUACCAAGGCAACGAUGGGUAGGGGUCCUGAGAGGGAGAUCCCCCACACUGGUACUGAGACACGGACCAGACUCCUACGGGAGGCAGCAGUGAGGAAUAUUGGACAAUGGGCGCAAGCCUGAUCCAGCCAUGCCGCGUGCAGGAUGACGGUCCUAUGGAUUGUAAACUGCUUUUGUACAGGAAGAAACACUGGUUCGUGAACCAGCUUGACGGUACUGUAAGAAUAAGGAUCGGCUAACUCCGUGCCAGCAGCCGCAGUAAGAC
rnacentral:rRNA from 1 species